GGCAAAUCCGGAAAAUCAAGGCUGAGGCGUGAUGACGAGGCACUACGGUGCUGAAGCAACAAAUGCCCUGCUUCCAGGAAAAGCCUCUAAGCAUCAGGUAACAUCAAAUCGUACCCCAAACCGACACAGGUGGUCAGGUAGAGAAUACCAAGGCGCUUGAGAGAACUCGGGUGAAGGAACUAGGCAAAAUGGUGCCGUAACUUCGGGAGAAGGCACGCUGACAUGUAGGUGAAGUGAUUUACUCAUGGAGCUGAAGUCAGUCGAAGAUACCAGCUGGCUGCAACUGUUUAUUAAAAACACAGCACUGUGCAAACACGAAAGUGGACGUAUACGGUGUGACGCCUGCCCGGUGCCGGAAGGUUAAUUGAUGGGGUCAGCGCAAGCGAAGCUCCUGAUCGAAGCCCCGGUAAACGGCGGCCGUAACUAUAACGGUCCUAAGGUAGCGAAAUUCCUUGUCGGGUAAGUUCCGACCUGCACGAAUGGCGUAAUGAUGGCCAGGCUGUCUCCACCCGAGACUCAGUGAAAUUGAACUCGCUGUGAAGAUGCAGUGUACCCGCGGCAAGACGGAAAGACCCCGUGAACCUUUACUAUAGCUUGACACUGAACAUUGAGCCUUGAUGUGUAGGAUAGGUGGGAGGCUUUGAAGCGUGGACGCCAGUCUGCGUGGAGCCAACCUUGAAAUACCACCCUUUAAUGUUUGAUGUUCUAACGUGGACCCGUAAUCCGGGUUGCGGACAGUGUCUGGUGGGUAGUUUGACUGGGGCGGUCUCCUCCUAAAGAGUAACGGAGGAGCACGAAGGUUGGCUAAUCCUGGUCGGACAUCAGGAGGUUAGUGCAAUGGCAUAAGCCAGCUUGACUGCGAGCGUGACGGCGCGAGCAGGUGCGAAAGCAGGUCAUAGUGAUCCGGUGGUUCUGAAUGGAAGGGCCAUCGCUCAACGGAUAAAAGGUACUCCGGGGAUAACAGGCUGAUACCGCCCAAGAGUUCAUAUCGACGGCGGUGUUUGGCACCUCGAUGUCGGCUCAUCACAUCCUGGGGCUGAAGUAGGUCCCAAGGGUAUGGCUGUUCGCCAUUUAAAGUGGUACGCGAGCUGGGUUUAGAACGUCGUGAGACAGUUCGGUCCCUAUCUGCCGUGGGCGCUGGAGAACUGAGGGGGGCUGCUCCUAGUACGAGAGGACCGGAGUGGACGCAUCACUGGUGUUCGGGUUGUCAUGCCAAUGGCACUGCCCGGUAGCUAAAUGCGGAAGAGAUAAGUGCUGAAAGCAUCUAAGCACGAAACUUGCCCCGA
rnacentral:rRNA from 1 species